GUGGGGAAUUUUGGACAAUGGGCGCAAGCCUGAUCCAGCCAUGCCGCGUGAGUGAAGAAGGCCUUCGGGUUGUAAAGCUCUUUCAGUCGGAAAGAAAAGGCGCGCUCUAACAUAGCGUGCUGAUGACGGUACCGACAGAAGAAGCACCGGCUAACUACGUGCCAGCAGCCGCGGUAAUACGUAGGGUGCGAGCGUUAAUCGGAAUUACUGGGCGUAAAGCGUGCGCAGGCGGUUGUGUAAGACAGGUGUGAAAUCCCCGGGCUUAACCUGGGAACUGCGCUUGUGACUGCACGGCUAGAGUACGGCAGGGGGGGGUGGAAUUCCACGUGUAGCAGUGAAAUGCGUAGAGAUGUGGAGGAACACCGAUGGCGAAGGCAGCCCCCUGGGCCGAUACUGACGCUCAUGCACGAAAGCGUGGGGAGCAAACAGGAUUAGAAACCCGGGUAGUCC
rnacentral:rRNA from 1 species